rnacentral:pre_miRNA from 1 species
AAUAAGUGCAGUUUUAGCACUAUUUAAAAAAGAUGAUAAAACAUGAUUAGUAUUUUUAUUAUUAUUAGAUGAUAAAACAUGAAUAGUACUUUAUGUGUGACUAAUUUUUUUAAUAUUUUUUAUAAAUUUUUCAAAUAAGACGGAUGGUCAAAGCGCUAAACACGGAUAUUUAUGGCUGCACUUAUU